rnacentral:rRNA from 1 species
UAUGUAGGCGGUUUUGUAAGUUCGGUGUGAAAUCUCCCGGCUUAACUGGGAGGGUGCGCCGAAAACUGCAAAGCUAGAGUGUGGGAGAGGAAAGCGGAAUUCCUGGUGUAGCGGUGAAAUGCGUAGAUAUCAGGAGGAACACCAGCGGUGUAGACGGCUUUCUGGACCAUUACUGACGCUGAGAUACGAAAGCGUGGGGAGCAAACAGGAUUAGAUACCCUGGUAGUCCACGCCCUAAACGAUGCGGACUUGGUGUGGGCAGUUCAUUCUGUCCGUGCCGGAGCUAACGCGUUAAGUCCGCCGCCUGGGGAGUACGGUCGCAAGGCUGAA